rnacentral:siRNA from 1 species
GAAGAUGAAUGGAGGUUGAUUGCA